GCUGCUGGGGCUGGAGCCGCGCUGCUCAGACCCUGGCUGCCUUUGCCGCCUGCACCGCCACUGACUCGACCCCUCGUCCGAGAUUGAUUGGGCUGCUUGGAGGCCCCUCGCGGUCACUGCCACCAGCCCCUGAUCUUCGGGUUUCAUCGCGAGUCCCCGUCCUUGCCUGCAGCCCCUGGAUUCUCGCCGGCCCAGCCACAUCGUCCACCCUCCCCGAGCCUCUGGCGGCGCCUCCCGGGACCAGCGGGGGCCCACGCUGGAGGCUGCCUGGGCCAUUCUGACGCACCAGCCUGAGGGAACAUUCCCUGGCCUCCCGCCCCUCCUUUCCCCUGCCUAGAGCUGGCCUGCGUGUCCCAGAACUGGGCUUCUCCCGCCUCACCUGCUCCCCACCGCACUCCAGAUCGCUGCGGGCGCGGCUUCCUCGCCCUGGAGCACUCUUCCUCUCCCUCCGCAUUUUCCCUGUAAUUCACAAGGGCCUGGAUGGGAGAAUCGUUGGUCACUGCUGAAGGAAGAAAGGGAGGAAGGGAGAUGAGAGGGAAGGAAAGACAAAUGUACUUAUGACUGCGUCUUUUCCUCCACUUGGGACUUUUUGUUCCAAUGUCCCUAGUCUCAGCCAUGGGAAAGAAGAUGGGGACCCAGAGCGCUCCACUGGCCUCUCCUCUGCUACUGCCCACCCCAUCCUGCCUGCCUGGUCAGCUCCAGUCCAGCCACUUGUUGCUGCCUGUAGGCUCAUGUAAGGCACAGUGACCUUGCCACAUCUCCAUGGAGGAGGAGGCAGGUGUAAGCACACCCCUCUGAGCCACCUACUCUGGGGGCCUGCUGGCAGGAACAGGAGAAGGAGUCAGGGUUGGGGUUGCGUCCCCACAGAAGAUAGCAGUGAGCACAGGCCACACACGACACUGGCACAUUCUGGUUGGGCCUUUCCUUAGCCGGCUCCAUUCCUCAGAUAGGAAAACCCAGACAGAGACAAAGGACCUACCUGGGACCUGUAUAGGUCCAGUCCCUCCCUCUGCCGCCUAGUGAGAGAGGACUGAAGAUGAAGAGUGAGGAUGAAUUGAGAGCAGGUGGUGUCACAUCUGCCCUGUCAGUGAGUUGGUCAACAGAGGUCUUUAGGGGGCUAUACCUGGACAGGGACCCCAAAGGGAAGAUGGAGGGUCUGCAAGGGGGCUGCUAGCUGCUGUCAGCGUCCACCCAGUCUGCAGGCUGCCCCCUGACCCUGCUUGAUGGGGACAGGUGUGUCAUGCAUGUUGCCGUGCAACCCAAGCUCAGUGUGUGGGUGGCACCCAGGGCUGCACUGGCUGUCAGGGUCCACAAGUGGUCUGGGUCAGGAUGGGGCAGGAACAUCCUUCUCUGAGUUCCCUGAUUACCCAGGAAGGCUGGCGGGGCAGGGGGUCCACUCAUCCAGACCCGUUGGCCAGCCCACCAAGGUGUGCAUCUCCCUUUUGGCUCCAAGGCCCGCCUUGGCCGGGUGACAGCUGGGGAAACUGAUACCAGCUCGUAGCUCUGGACUGCUGGGUGGCAAGGCCCUGUGGUCGCUGGGAGCCAGGCUUCCUCAGUCCCGCGCGUUCGCUGCUGACAAUUGAGCGACCAAAGCAGAUUAACUUGGGUGUUAAUCCCCACCUAAUGGCUUCAGAAUCCCCGGCUCCAGGAGCUAAGCCGUCCUUUCUCCGAGCGCGGCCGAGCCCUCCGCGGCUUCAGCCCCGCAGCGGCGCCGAUGCUAUCUCUGCCUGCCCGGCCGCGGUACCGCGCUAAUCCCCGGCGCUCCUUUCUUCCCCGGCCCGUCCAAGGUCGGCCGAUUGGGGUUUGAUUAUGGCCGCUAUCGAGGGCCCCUUUGUGCGACCGGCCCUAAAUCCCCUAAUUCCGUGAUAAAAGAGGCAUUAGCGGGCGUUUGUGGCUGAGAAAGGAACAGAGAUGAAAGAAAGCAAUCAGGAGAUCCGGACGGCCGCGCCCUCGAGGCGGGGUGGCCUCGACCCAGCGGGGGGCGGCCUGGGCCCGGGCUUCCUCCACCCCAACCAGCCCUGAGCGGGGCCAGCGACCCCUCCCCACCUCCUUGGCUGUCCCUCCCCACUGUUCCGGCUGCCACUUGGCUCGGGAACCCCCUGGGCUCACAUGCCGAGGGACCACCCCCCUACCUCAGCCUCACUUUUGCAUGUGCGGGAUCUGAGGGACCUAACCCCCGGCUCCCUGGGCCCUAGCUGCUCCUGCGUCCCGGCCCUGACUGUCCAAAUCCAGUGGUCUGUCCGUGCCCACCCAAAGCUCCAUUCCUCUGUGGCCUCUAAUUCUCCCCCAGCCCCUCCAGAUCCCUGCCCUCUUCAUCUGCCUCAGUUUCAUCCAGUCCUGGAAACAGUCAGGUCUGUUCUUUAGUCGGGGAAAGAAAUGGUGGCAGCCGGGAGCACUGGGAUUGUCUAGAGAGGUGCAGGUGGGGACAGUAGGGAAGGCCCCCUUGCAGAGGUGCCAGGAGCCCCAGGAUAGGGCGUCAAGGAGCCAGGGUGGAUGCAUUGAAGGAGCUGACCAGGGACCUGGGCAGCUGAGAGUGAGGAGGGAGGGGACAGAUGGGAGAGGUGGCAGAGUCCAGGGCUUCCAGGGACUGAGGACCACUCACUCCGGGCAUCUGAAGUGAGGGUGCCAUGAUGGGACUUCUGUUUGUGGCAAGCAUUGACGCCUCUCGGGGAGGCUCACUUUGGGGAGGAGGACAGGAGAGAAAAGUUGCUGGGAGUGGGUUCAAAAGCCAGCCACUGUGGGGGUGCCGGUGGCAGACAUCUACGACUGGCGCCAAGGUGGAGGCAGUGCAGAGGGACAGGCGUGGGCAAUACCAGAUGGAGCUGGAGGUGGACGAUGAGAUCCGAGGUGGGAGUAGGGAGUGCUAAGCAUUGCCCACCAGCUGAGCCUUGAGCAGCUCUAGAGUCAGGUGAGCGCUGCACAGGUGAGUGAGUGGGGCAUCUACCUGGACGGACAGGUGUGUGUUUACCAAGGUGCACAGGUGAGUGAGUGGGGCAUUUACCUGGACGGACAGGUGUGUGUUUACCAAGGUGCACAGGAGUCGAGGUGUGUGUUUACCCAGGUGAGUAGGUGGGGCCGCGGGCCAUUUACUGGGAAGACAAGGGGAUGGGUGUGCAUAGAUGGCUCUAUUCAGAUCCCCUUUAGGGGUCAGCCUACUGGUCCCCAGCUGCUGACUGUUGCCUCCUGGUGGCUCAUGGCCACCUUGGUCUUGGAGAAUUGUCCUGGGGAAUGAGAGCCACCCACACAGCAGCCCUCCAGACCCAGAGGCAGAACCCUGACAAUGGCUGAUACCUGGGCAUCCCUGCUUUGCCGAAAGGUGGUUCAGAUCUGUGAAGUUCUCAGUGUCUGCCACAGCGGUUCCAUGUGGAAUGAUGAAAACUGACCUGUAACAGAGACAGCUUUCUGCUCAGCAGUCUGCACUCUACCACCCAGCCCUGUCCUACUUCCACGGUGACCAGGCAUCUCAGUUUUCCCAAGACUAAGGAAUUUCCCGGAAAGCAGGGCUGUCAGCACCAAAACCUGGGAAAGUCACAGGCAAAUCAGGAUGGGGAGUCCCUCUAGGUUUCUGUUGUGUCUCCCAAAGAGAUGCCAAAGUCCUCGCUCAUCCUAUCUGUGAAUGUGAACUUAUUUAGAAAUAAGAUCUUUGCAGAUGUAAUUACACUUAAAUUAACUAGCUGGGCAUGUUGGUACACAUCUGUGGUACCAGCUACUUUGGAGGCUGAGGUGAGAAGAUUGCUUGAGCCCAGAAGGUUGAGGCUGCACUGAGCUGUGACCACAUCACUGCACUUCAGCCUGGCCAAGAGAGCAAGACCCUGCCUGUAAACCAGACAACAACAAGAACCAUGCAAAUGAAGAUGAAGUCAUACCGGAGUAGGGUAUGUCCUUAACCCAGUAAGACUGAUGAAGUCCUCAGAAGAGAAGAGCCACAUACAGGAGAAGACCAUGUGGUGACCAAGGUGGAGAUGGGAGGGGGCAUUUGUGAGCCAAGGAAUGCCCAGUGGGUCCAGCAAGGCCAGAUGCUGGGAGAAGGGCACCGGGUAGACUGUCCCCUGGAGCCUUCCGAGAGCACGACACUGCUGACACCCUGAUCUGGGUUCCUGACCUCUGGAAGUAUGAACAAGUAAGCUCCUGUUGGAAACCGUUCAGGGCUCAGCACCACCGGAAGGCAGCACAGACUUCCUCACUCUCCUGGGCACACGCUCAGCAACAGCCCGAGAACAAGAAUCCUUGCUUCAGGCUUUGCUUCUAGGGAACUCGACCUCAACAGUGGGUGUCUGGUGGGUGGCCCUGGGAAGCCCACCUGAAGGACAGCACUCUGAAAUUGGCUCCUGCGCCGGCAGGGUGGCAACGAGGAGCUGUCACUCUUCUCGUGUUUCCAGCAUUUUGUGGUGUUCCAUCCUCGUAGAUGCCAAGGUGUCAGGUGGAGAACUGACAGCCCCCGGCCUGGGUCACAGUGUGACAGUAAGAACUGUCACCAGGGGGAACUGGGAUGGGAGACAUUUGGAGGCAGUGUCACUGGUGCAGUGCCCUGGGCACCUGAGAGGUGGGGAGGAACUCCAAGAGCCAUGGGACUGAGAGGCUGUUGCUAAGCACUGUUGAUUCCUUGAGGAGAGAACAUGACAGAUCCAGACACACCGAUCAACAGCAUGAAGCAGAGUGCCCCGCAUCAGAGCCCAGCUGGCACAUGCAGAGACUGGCCGGCGGGUGGACAGAAAUGAAGAUGAGGCCCCGGGGGUUAGUGGAGCACAGCCGAACUCCAGGAGAAGCAGGGGAUCUCAACCUAAACAAGGCUCUCACAGCAAAGUGACAGCCUGAUAGUGAAGGGGUGGGACGCUGAUGUGUGGGGCGGUGUAUCUGAGUGGAUGGCCUUGCGCACUUAGGUUUUUUAUUUUGAGAGUUUUUUUUUUUUUUUGAGACAGAGUUUUGCUCUCAUUGCCCAGGCUACACUGCAGUGUUGCAAUCUAGGCUCACUGCAACCUCUGCCUUCUGGUUUCAA
rnacentral:lncRNA from 1 species